rnacentral:lncRNA from 1 species
GCUUUCCUACAAUUUUUAUUUUAAAAGUUAAAUGUAGUAAACAAAUAAAAAGCUUUUUACAAUGAACAAAUGCUCCAGUCCUUACUGUUUUAAUGGUUUUUGACCUUAAUUUGAUGUGCAAAUUUUAUUAGUACAAGAAUUUUUUUUUUUUUUUUUUGCCUUUUGCCUUUUGCCAUUUCUGGGGCCAUUCCCGGCAUAUGGAGGUGCAGCCCUAAAAUGCAAAAAAAAAAAAAAAAAAAAAAAGGAAUUUCUAAUUAAAACUAAAUUCUAUAUUGGGCCCAGAACUUUCAGUGGUGGCACAGUCAUUCUUAUCUUCCUCACAUACAACUUCAAGCAAGUCUCUUAAACUCACUAGCUCUCACUUCCCCCAUCUAUAAAAUGAAGGUUUGAAUAACAUCCUAGCAAGUAUUUUUAAAUGCUACCUUAAAACUAUAUUAAUGAGGUACAUUUUAAAAUGCUUGUAGGAAUUUUUAGAUAAAAGAUAGCUUUCAAAGAAAUAGAUGCAAUUCACUGAAUCUCAUCUCUUUGGCUUCUGCAUUGACUUGAAUGUUGCACAAUUCAGGUAUAUAUUGAACUGAGUCUACCCAGAAGAGUAUGUGGGGUAUGUGGGUAUUCAUAAAUUACCCAUGUUCAAAAAUAACAAUUGGUUCAUUUGGCUUUAAUGGUUCAAAAGUCUUUUAGUAGCUAAAAAGCCUUUAGGUGUAGAAUGUGUGAAAACUAGCCAAAUCUUUGUUACACAUCAACUUACAGGAACUGAUUCUGGGCCAUCUUAAGCAAAAGGGAAUUUAUUAGAAGAUUAUUUUAAUUGUGCCUCAAGAUUGCAAGUUCCCAGAGUGACCAUGUAAUUGGUCAAGCUUACUGGACCAUGUGUCUGUAUCCAAGCUGUAUCAGAGGGCAGGUGCAAGCAGCUUCCUUAGUGGGAGGAAGCAGAAGGAAACAAGCUCUUAGAAUUACCUUCCCCCUUCUUCCUACCAAUGUAUUACAUAUUCCCAUCAAAUGGAAGAUGGGAUGCCAGUAGGAUGGUAGGGUUUGACAGACCUCAAAAGGAUGAAUACACACCAUAACUUUAUCUUGGGAAUUACUUAAAAAUAUCUCUGAUCCUAAAUUACCUUAUAGCUUUAAAGUAAAUUUCAGGUAUGAUCAUCAAAAUCCAGCUAUUUGAAUUUUAUACUUUCAUAAAUGCCAAAUGAAUAUAAAGAUUCCACUGUUGUUUACUUAACAAAGGAAACAUCGAGAAUAUAACGACAAAAGUCAACGCUGAGAACAUUCAUUCAUUCAACAUUUAUCAAGCACUUUCUAUAUGCUUGGCAGUGUGCUUGCCCACUUCUGCAUUCUUUGGCUCGUGGUCCCUUCCUUAUAUCACCCCAUCCUCCGACUUCAGUCAUCACAUCUCCUACAACCUGCUCCCGCCUCUCAAAGGAUCACUGAGAUUAUAUUGGGCCCACCCGGAUCAUCUAAGUUUUGCUUGCUCCUCAUCAGGAGACCCUUAACUUAAUCAGAGCUACCAAGUCCCUCCCACCAUGUAAGAUAACAUGUUCACAGGUUCUGGGCAUCAGGACAUGAAUUAUGGGGGGGGAGGGGGAAAGGACAUUAUUUAGCCCACUGAAAGGGGAAUUCUAUUUUUUCCCCCUAGGGCCUCACCUGCAGCAUAUGGAAGUUCUCAGCUAGGGGUGGAAUCCGAGCUAGAGCUGCUGACCUACACCACAGCAAUAUCACAUCCAAGCUGCAUCUGCCACCUACACCACAGCUCACGAUAACACUGGAUCCUGAACCCACUGAGCAAGGCAAGGGAUCGAACCCGCAUCCUCAUGGAUACGAGGUGGCUUCCUAACCUGUUGAGCCAUGACAGAAACUCCAAUUCUCCUAUUCUUACCCUUUCAUUCCUAGACUUGCAUUUUCUAUCUAUACUGGACCUGGCACUAUAUAAUGAGUGAUUUAGAGUGUAGACUGAGUUGCGGUGGAGAGCAGCCCAUCUUCACAGGUUACUCUCUCCAAGCUUUUCCUUCAGUUUCAAAAGGUUUUUCCACCACUCCAUCCAGCCAGCAUUUUCUAGGUUCUGUUAUUAUGUGAUAAGACCAGUGAAUUCCAUGAGCAUGUGCCCACUGAAACACCUCCUUUGCUGUAAAGUGGGUCCCUAGGUCAAAGGCAGUGUUACACAGGAUACAUGUUGAUAGAUCAAACCCUUGUGAACCCUUGGUUAAAUAACUUGGCCAACAUCCUGUGGGCAGGAAAGGCAAACUCGUAUCUGGAGAUGUGAAGAUUCUAGUGAAGGUGAAUCUCUGUCCUUUCAGGAAUGGAGUCCAGUGUAGUCAACUUGCUACUAAGUAGCUGCUUGGUUUCCUUAAGGGAUGAUGUGUAUCAAGGGCUCAGUGUUGAAUGUGAGGGAGUGGCCACUUGGUCAGCGGAAGCCACGAUGUUGGCCUCUUGCAACCUGCAUCCCUGCAAAAUGACUGCGAAUGUGAGCCCAUUAUGCCAGCACUGGGAUAGCUGAUGACUGCAGCUGCGGAAGAUAACUGGCCGAGUCUUUUUGUUUAUUUGGCUGAGUGCCUCUUCCGUGGUGGACUGCCCCUGGCAGGCAUUGUUAUAUGACCCAAAGUUCUUUACUCACGUGCCCAAUCCUACAGAUUUCUCCACCGCUCCUUCUCCAGGCUUCCUUGGGCCUGAUCAUCUCAUCUUUCUCAUUCCAGGUCCAAGAAGAUACAGUCUUACUUCAGGUCACUUCUUCCACAAAAAGUGGAUGACUAGGAAUACUGCCCUCAAUUCUGCCUUUUUUGGAGAAUUCCUGUCUCUUAGCACCACUCCUGAGUAGGGCUGUAGGGCAGCAAGUUUUGCACUUCUUUUGUUUUGAACCCAUAUUCCAAGAAAACCCAUCAGUGAACUUACCUGGGGCUUUUUUGUCCUCCAUCAGUUAGAUGUAAGAGCCUCUCAUGCAGCCAUAAUUGUGAGUUGAAGGAGCGACUUUGGUGCAAGAGUUCUAAGUAUGACAUGGGAGUCUGGGUCACCUGCCUGUGCACCUACUCACUUCCUCUGGCCCUACCUGCCACUGAUCCCAGAUGUACCACUUCCACCUUAUGAUGGAGUAACUUGGUGUCUGACAAAACCUAGCUCACGACGGGCUACAGGGUCACCUGAUGUCCCAUGAGAUGCUCGGUUCUUACCAAGGCAUACAAGAAACCAUUUCUGAAUGACAUGUGGUUCUCUACCUUGUGAUUCUCCAACUGGAGCUUGCCAUAAACCCCCAUGGCUGCUUUGUUUAUCACAGAUACUCUUGACUCAUAGAACCUCCAGGACUAAACGGCCCAGGCAAUAGGCUAGUUAUACUGCAGCCUGUACCUGCUAGAGCCUUUAUGUGCUCUGGGUCCAACUGAAAACUGUCACCCAAUACACGAGUCAGAGCAGAAUUCCCAAGUUCUAAUUCCCACAAAGAAACCUGGAGCUUGAUGUGCUUCCUUGGUGGCAGAAUAAUAUUGAUAAGGAGUUCCCAUCGGGAGGGCAGUGGAAACAAAUCCGACUAGGAACCAUGAGGUUGCAGGUUCAAUUCCUGGCCUUGCUCAGUGGGUUAAGGAUCUGGCGUUCCCAUGAGCUGUGGUGUAGGUGGCAGCCGUGGCUCGGAUCUGACGUUGCUGUGCCUGUUGUGUAGGCAGACAGCUGUAGAUCCAGUUCAGCCUCUAGCCUGGGAACUACCAUAUGCUGAAAGUGCAGCCCUAAAAAGCAAAAAAAAAAAGAAAGAAAAAAAAGGAAAAAAAAACAUAAAUGAAAUAAAAAAAGAAACUAAGACAGUCUAUCCUUCUAUAUCUAACUACCUACCUAAUAUGUGGGUUAUACCAGAAUUCAGUUUUAGCUUCGUAUUUAAUAUUUUCUACUUUGACCUUUAAAAAUCCAAAGAGAUAGAUACCCACUCUCUCACUGUUUCUUCUGGGCUCUCUAAAAUUGUGUGGUCAAGAAAUCUUGCAGGUUGGGAGUUCUGUGGUUCAGUGGGUUAAGGAUCAAGUGUUGUCACUACAGCAGCUUGGGUUGCUGCUGUGGGAUGAGUUCGAUCUCUGGCCUGGGAACUUCAACAUGCCAUGGAUGCAGCCAAAAAAGAAACAGUCUUUCAGAUUAUUACCAUCUAAUCAGAAAGACACCACUGUAUUUAUUGCUACUAUUUUAACAUUCACUUUAUAAUAUAGGUAAGCCUUUUUCAAAAUAAUUAUAGCAAGAAAUUCUUAGGUGCUUUAGAUAUUGAAACAUUGUGUUAACUGAAGUACAGUAUGUGUAUUUAUAAUUGCGAAAGUGAAUUUCUCCAAUAAAGACUGUGAAUGCUACUGUAUUUAUGUACAAUUAUUAUAAACUUCUAAAUAGUUUAAAAAAAUAGAAAACAUUUAUGAAACAAUGGCCCACAAAGCAUUGGACAUAGGCCAUGAAGGGCAAUGGUCCAUGAAAGAUGGAAAACAAACACAGUGAGUAAUACGAUUACUCCAACUUACAGCACAGAGCUUUCCUGGCUGUGGCCUAGCAGAUUCCAAGGUGAGGAGAUGCCACUGGGAGUCCUGGGAGCCCAAGUAACGAGCUCACAGAGAGAUGCCAGAGAGGAGAGAGCCACACACAGAGGGAACUCCAGAGAUGCUAACCGUUCCCUUACUCAGGUGAGUAAUGAUCAGCACUGGUGACAGGAAACUAGCCUAAGGCCAAAAAAUGAACCACCUGAAAGGAGUACAGGAAAUCACACUCAGCGCUCACACAAUGAGUGAAUAAUUCCUGUCCCUACCAGCCAGAGUAGAAAAUCACAGAACGCAAAAGGCAUGGGUUAGAGAAUUCAAAAGGAAUGAUUAGGGAGUUCCCUUCAUGGCUCAGCAGUUAAUGAACCUGACUAGGAUCCAUGAGGAUGUGGGUUCGAUCCCUGGCCUCGCUCAGUAGAUUAUGGAUCCGGAGCUGCUGUGAGCUGUGGUGUAGUCCACAGAGGCGGCUCAGAUCUGGUGUGGCUGUGGUAUAGGUCGGCAGCUGUGGCUCCAAUUAGACCCCCAGCCUGGGAACUUCCAUAUGCUGCAGGUACAGCCCUAAAAAGGCCCCCCCCCAAAAAAGGCAUAAUUGAAAGGUCUUGCUUUAAUAAUGGAAAACAAUCCUAGACUAAACGCUGCUCUAACAAAUGUUUAAAAGCAAGAUUCCAGAGUUCCCGCUGUGGCACAGUAGGAUAAGGGUACAUCAUUGCCUCUACUGUGCUCAGGUCACUGCUGAGGCUCAGGUUUGAUCCCUGGCCCAGGGAAUUCCAUAUGCCACAGGUGCGGCCAAAAAAAAAAGCAAGACAAAAGGAUCAAACUGUUCCCAAGCAACUUAACUAUAUUCCAGAACAAAGCUCAAAAGUGUUAUUAGAGACAAGAAAACAGUUUUAACCACUUAAAAUAAUAGUUUAGUUUUAUGGCUUGCUCAAUGCAAAGUGGCUGCACUCUGAGGCUAUUCAGAACAACUCAUAUUGUGUUUUUUCUUGCACGUGUGCCCAGGGUGGGAAAAACUGAAUUUAAAAUGCUUUUUCUACUUAUUUGUUUCUCAUUAAGUUUCCAUAUUUCUAUAUUUUAAAUGUAUACUUGUAUUCAUGUGUUAAUACAUGCAUAUCAUUGAUUAAAACUAUACAGCUAAUGAAGACAACACCUCACAGUUGAGGGAGUUUUAUAAAAUCAUUAUUCUUGUUUCUUAAUCACAACUUCUCCAUCAAGUGAGUACAUUAAUCAGCAACUAAUACCGAUGCUUGCAAAGGAAACCUUUAGAGCUUUUAGCAAGUUCUGGAUUGAGGCAACAAGGAUUCUGAGCCUCCUGACCCCUUCCGUCUUUUUUCCUUAGCUCCAUUAGAUGGCUCUUCUGGAUCAGGCCAAUCCACCAAGGGCUCGGAGAAAACUAUAACAUACAUGGAUAUACUCAGUGGAGAAAAAGCCUCCAGGGCCCUCAUUUUCUUUCAUUCACACACAACUCCUGCUCACGCUAAAACUCCCAGCUGGAGUUCCCGUCGUGGCACAGUGGUUAACGAAUCUGACUAGGAACCAUGAAGUUGCAGGUUCGGUCCCUGCCCUUGCUCAGUGGGUUAAUGAUCCAGCGUUGCCGUGAGCUGUGGUGUAGGUUGCAGACGCGGCUCGGAUCCCACGUUGCUGUGGCUCUGGCGUAGGCCGGAGACUACAGCUCCAAUUGGACCCCUAGCCUGGGAACCUCCAUAUG